AACCCGUCCGGCCGUUCUCGUGGUUCGCUCGCGCGCGCGCGCCCGCACAAUUGAAAAAAAAACACGCCUCGUGCAGUUCUCCGCGCGCGCUCGUCCGUCCGUCCGUCCGUCCGUCCGUCCCGUCCCGUCGCCGCGACGCGUAUUCGGCGAAAGAAAAAAUACAAAACCGAAAAACAAAAAAAAAAAAAAAACGAAAACCGUACCGUUACCGUUUUGUUGUCGUUGAUCGUUCCGGGUGGAACCGUGCGGCGAUCGACGUUCGAGAGCGCGCAAAACGCACGGCGGCAACGGUCGCGUAUCGAUUGUACAAAUCGAUAAUAUUUCAAUCGACGGCCGUCCGCUCCCCUCGCCCCUACCCCUCGUGCGCCCGCCGUGUACCCGUCGUAUCCGGUUGCCCGUCGAACUGAGCAAGUCGAAACGAAAUAGAGACGGAAAAAUAAUAAAAAAAAAAAAAUUCGAAAAAU